AGAUUUUGGUGACUGCGCUCCUCCAAGCCAGUUACCUUGGUUCAAAGAGUUGGUAGCUCAGCGAACCUUGAGAAAACCACCGUUGGUAGCGGUGGUUUUUCUUU
rnacentral:antisense_RNA from 2 species